GAGAGUUAAAUAGUACGUGAAAUUGUUGAAAGGGAAACGAUUGAAGUCAGUCAUGCUAGUGAAAAAUCAGUUUGACGGGUUUUGAGUUCUUGAGUAGAGGCAGGGUCAAACCGUUUCUCUUUUGGACUUGGGAUUUGUUAGAUGUACUUUUUCUUUGGCAGGUCAACGUCGGUUUCGGGGGUUGUAAAAUACUUGGGGGAAAGUAGCUCUGCUUCGGGAGAGUGUUAUAGACCCUAAGAGAUGCAGCUUGUGGGAUCGAGGAUUGCAGCAAAUGCCUUUGGCUUGUCGCCUGUUCCUGGGUGUUACCUCUCUUGUGACAACAUUCUUGCCACUGGAGGGUACUAAUGCCUACUGUUUAGUGCGAUCAAAAAUUUUGCUAAGGAUGUUGACGUAAUGGCUUUAAACGA
rnacentral:rRNA from 1 species